AUGCGAGCCAAUCGCUUGGAUAAAAAAUAUAUCACAAACAUAGAAGAUGUUAUCAAUAGAGGGGCCGGUUCCACUUACAGCUCGGCAGAUAUAUUGCUUCUGUUAGAGAAAUUGCAAGAAGACAAUAGAUUGAUCAUAGUUCUGAGAGGGUGUUUUAGUGUUGUGGGAGCUCAACCAACAAUGAAAAUUGUUGCAAAAGAUGAUAAGCUGUGA